rnacentral:rRNA from 1 species
GAUGAACGCUGGCGGCGCGCCUAACACAUGCAAGUCGAACGAGCGAGAGAGAGCUUGCUUUCUCGAGCGAGUGGCGAACGGGUGAGUAACGCGUGAGGAACCUGCCUCAAAGAGGGGGACAACAGUUGGAAACGACUGCUAAUACCGCAUAAGCCCACGACCCGGCAUCGGGUUGUAGGGAAAAGGAGCAAUCCGCUUUGAGAUGGCCUCGCGUCUGAUUAGCUAGUUGGUGGGGUAACGGCCCACCAAGGCGACGAUCAGUAGCCGGUCUGAGAGGAUGAACGGCCACAUUGGGACUGAGAUACGGCCCAG